rnacentral:rRNA from 1 species
GGCUCCUACAUGCAUGAAGCCUGGGGUGGAUAGUCGACCGCCUUGAUCCAGGGCGAGGCUACUGAAACUAAUAGACUGGGAUCCUGCACGUUACUCACAGAAUAAGCACCGGCUAACUCUGUGCCAGCAGCCGCGGUAAUACAGAGGGUGCGAGCGUUAAUCGGAUUUACUGGGCGUAAAGCGUGCGUAGGCGGCUUUUUAAGUCGGAUGUGAAAUCCCCGACCUUAACUUGGGAAUUGCAUUCAAUACUGGGAAGCUACAGUAUGGGAGAGGAUGGUAGAAUUCCAGGUGUAGAGGUGAAAUGCGUAAAGAUCUGGAGGAAUACCGAUGGCAAAGGCAGCCAUCUGGCCUAAUACUGACGCUGAGGUACGAAAGCAUGGGGAGCAAACAGGAUUACAUACCCUGGUAGUCCAUGCCGUAAACGAUGUCUACUAGCCGUGGGGCCUCUGAGGCUUUAGUGGCGCAGCUAACGCGAUAAGUAAACCGCCUGGGGAGUACGGUCGCGAGACUAAAACUCAAA